GAAAGCAUUUAGAUUUGAUGGGUUUGAUGUGAAUGAAUGGAACCUUCGAUGAGGUGAAGAAGAUUGUGAAAAUACUCAAUGAGGGACAGGUGCCAUCACAAGAUGUUGUGG